UAGUGGGUUUUCAUUUGCACUCCAGGGUUCAGCUGCAGACCCACCAGGUGAAGACCCACCAGCACACCUUGCCCUGCUUCUGGGCCACGUCUCUCCAGUGCACCUGCAGGAGACCUCUGUGGAUGCACCGUGUCUCCUAACACUGUCUCCAGCCCACACUGAGCUUGUCUUGCGUGGAAAUCUUUGUCUCUGCUGUUGCCUUUGCCUGGAGCGUCCUUGCCCCACACCCUCUCACAGCUGCCUCUCUGUCAUCUUUCCAAUGUCUGUCCUCAGAGAGCCCUUCCUGGCCACUCCAUCUAAAGGAGUCCUGGGCCAGGUGUGGUGGCCCACACCUGUAAUCUCAGAACUUUGGGAGACGGAGGUGGGAAGAUCACUUGAGGCCAGGGGUUCAAGACCAACCUGGGCAACAUACUGAAACCCCCAUGCCUAUAACAAUAAAAAAGGAAAAAA
rnacentral:lncRNA from 10 species